CUACGGGCGGCACCAGUGAGGAAUAUUGCACAAUGGGGGGAACCCUGAUGCAGCAACGCCGCGUGGAGGAUGACGCAUUUCGGUGUGUAAACUCCUUUUAUAUGUCAAGAAAAUGACGGUAGCAUAUGAAUAAGCACCGGCUAACUCCGUGCCAGCAGCCGCGGUAUACGGAGGGUGCAAGCGUUACUCGGAAUCACUGGGCGUAAAGGACGCGUAGGCGGGUUGGAAAGUCAGGUGUGAAAUCCUACAGCUUAACUGUAGAACUGCACUUGAAACUUCUAAUCUAGAGUAUGGGAGGGGGAGAUGGAAUUAGUGGUGUAGGGAUAAAAUCCGUAGAUAUCACUAGGAAUACCUAAAGCGAAGGCGAUCUCCUGGAACAUUACUGACGCUAAGGCGUGAAAGCGUGGGGAGCAAACAGGAUUAGAUACCCUGGUAGUC
rnacentral:rRNA from 1 species